rnacentral:rRNA from 1 species
UAGUUGCCAUCAUUAAGUUGGGCACUCUAAGUUGACUGCCGGUGACAAACCGGAGGAAGGUGGGGAUGACGUCAAAUCAUCAUGCCCCUUAUGAUUUGGGCUACACACGUGCUACAAUGGACAAUACAAAGGGCAGCGAAACCGCGAGGUCAAGCAAAUCCCAUAAAGUUGUUCUCAGUUCGGAUUGUAGUCUGCAACUCGACUACAUGAAGCUGGAAUCGCUAGUAAUCGUAGAUCAGCAUGCUACGGUGAAUACGUUCCCGGGUCUUGUACACACCGCCCGUCACACCACGAGAGUUUGUAACACCCGAAGCCGGUGGAGUAACCUUUUAGGAGCUAGCCGUCGAAGGUGGGACAAAUGAUUGGGGUGAAGUCGUAACAAGGUAGCCGUAUCGGAAGGUGCGGCUGGAUCACCUCCUUUCUAAGGA